rnacentral:rRNA from 1 species
GACGAACGCUGGCGGCGUGCUUAACACAUGCAAGUCGAACGGAAAGGCCCUGCUUGCAGGGUGCUCGAGUGGCGAACGGGUGAGUAACACGUGGGUGAUCUGCCCCUUACUUUGGGAUAAGCCCGGGAAACUGGGUCUAAUACUGGAUAGGACCAUGCUGUAGGUGGUGUGGUGGAAAGAUUAGUUUCGGUAAGGGAUGAGCUCGCGGCCUAUCAGCUUGUUGGUGGGGUAAUGGCCUACCAAGGCGUCGACGGGUAGCCGGCCUGAGAGGGUGGACGGCCACAUUGGGACUGAGAUACGGCCCAGACUCCUACGGGAGGCAGCAGUGGGGAAUAUUGCACAAUGGGCGCAAGCCUGAUGCAGCGACGCCGCGUGGGGGAUGACGGCCUUCGGGUUGUAAACUCCUUUCAGCCAUGACGAAGCCCUUGUGGUGACGGUAGUGGGAGAAGAAGCACCGGCUAACUACGUG